GUCUCCUGCAUUGCAGGCGGAUUCUUUACCAGCUGAGGAGCCAGGGAGAAAAGAUAGACCAGCUGAAUUCUUUCUACGCUAAGACAUGAAGAGCCAGAGCUCCCCAGAGCCCUGCAAGUUGCAUUUCUCCAGAUUGUGCACAAGUGAGCAGCUGCCAGACUAGUUUAGGAGCCAUUUCAUCAAGUGACUUCAGAGAGAGCUCCAGGCAGAAAGUGAGAAAUGAGGUUCAGCUCAGGGAAGAUGCUGGAAGGUCAUACCUGCACGAAGCUGGUCACUUCAGCAAUGGACAUGGCAAAAGGGACAGAGGUUAGUUAGUUUGAAAUCUCCAAUCAAGCAUCCAUACACCAUGAGCCUUCAACCACCGUUAUAGCCAAUCAACACUGGAGGGUUUCCUGAGAGCUUAAGGGAUGCUAGACAGUAUUUUUCAUCACUGAGAUGUAGAAAGCUCAAGGCAUGGGGACUGCAUACAAAUGUGGUCAGACACCUCUGUCAUUGCUCAAAUAGCUUCAGUGUCUCUCUCUUGGGAAGUUGUAUCAGCUUCCUAACUCAACUCCCUGACCCCCACUCUCCUAUGCUGUUUUCAAGAUUAGCCAACUCCAAUUGUCUUUUUAAAAAAUUUUAUUGAUGUAUAGUUGAU
ensembl:lncRNA